GGCCCAAUGGUCAAAGGGUUAGGACGCAAUUCUUUCAAUGUUGAGAUGAGGAUUCAACUUCCUCUUGGGCUA
rnacentral:tRNA from 1 species